rnacentral:rRNA from 1 species
AGCGAACGCUGGCGGCAGGCCUAACACAUGCCAGUCGAACGAACCUUUCGGGGUUAGUGGCGGACGGGUGAGUAACACGUGGGAACGUGCCUUUAGGUUCGGAAUAACUCAGGGAAACUUGUGCUAAUACCGAAUGUGCCCUUCGGGGGAAAGAUUUAUCGCCUUUAGAGCGGCCCGCGUCUGAUUAGCUAGUUGGUUGAGGUAAUGGCUCACCAAGGCGACGAUCAGUAGCUGGUCUGAGAGGAUGAUCAGCCACAUUGGGACUGAGACACAGCCCAAACUCCUACGGGAGGCAGCAGUGGGGAAUCUUGCGCAAUGGGCGAAAGCCUGACGGAGCCAUGCCGCGUGAAUGAUGAAGGUCUUAGGAUUGUAAAAUUCUUUCACCGGGGACGAUAAUGACGGUACCCGGAGAAGAAGCCCCGGCUAACUUCGUG